rnacentral:tmRNA from 2 species
GGGGAUGCAAGGCAUCGACGGGAAAUUAGCACUUUUACAAACGGUCUAGACGAACCUGUUGCGUUAAACGGAAAAAACAACUGAUAAAUCUUUAUCAGCUGAAGAGGUUGCGUAUCUGAAAAGCGGAAUGAGGUUUAAUCAACCUUUGCUCGCUUAUGCAGGUUACGUUAACUAAUUCCCUCUCUUUUGAUUUUGUCCGAUUCAAUCAUAAGAGGGGAAAACCAAUCGGAAUAAGGUCUUAAAAAGUAAUUAGUUGUAUUUAAGAUCGACAAAUUUAACUAACUUCUUAGUCCGAUUUGAUUAUUUAAGCGGCUAAGACAGAGUAAAAAUAAUCUAUUCUAGACAAAACGUUUGUAGCGAGUGUUUUCUCGGACGCGGGUUCAACUCCCGCCAUCUCCACAC